UCUUUCCUGUCUCAUAAAAAGGAGGUCGAGUCUCGUCAAAAACUGAUUUCCUCCUUAAUCGAUUUGGCCUUGUGCAACGCGUGACUUUAAUGUCAGCUCGUGCCGCGUGUCACCGCACUGUAUUCUCGUCGGUUUUCGAAACUGUUAACGUUUUUACAAACGCUUAGCUGCGAUUUCCAGUCUACCUGCACUAAUUUUGCAGCAAAAAGUUGUCGCCAUUUGAUGGCGUAAAAUUGUCUGCUUCUUCCGUUUAUAUCCACUACUGGCCAGUAGCCUGGGGUGAAAUCGUGCUUACCAGUCUACCUUUCUUCGACUAUCCUCUUCUGUCUCACAGGCUCUUCUAAUUUCGAAGAUGGCGUUUAGUUAUGUUCUAAGAAUGAUAUCAAAAUUUGGUGACGUUCUUGACGCUUGAGCUCCAAAUAACACAUCAUUUCAUUGUGGAGUUAUUGAAUACUGCAUGUCGUAUUCUAUACGAAUUCCGUAUGAAUGUAGUAGUGAAGAGUAUCUAUAGCGAACUAUAAUAGUUCAAGUAUAAAAGUCAACGUAUGAAAAAAUGAAUCUUCUCAAUGGUACGUAAAAAAAUGGUUGGCAUGGGUAGAUAGAUUAAUCAUUAUUAACGCUGAGUUGAAAGGUGUUAGACCUGGAGUUUUGGAAGAGUGAAAACAAUAGAAGUAUUUAGCGCAAAGCCAUACAAUAGGCUGUCUGCACUCUCUACACCGUGGGAUUCGAGCCCUGGAUUAUAUUGUUGACUUAGAAGGGGGACUAACCGUUACAAUGUGCGUGUAAAGAUUCCGGUAAACAGAAAUUGGGGAUCCUUACAGGACGACAUAUUUUCAAUCUUCAGCUACUUUGGCUUCUUGGUCAUCAAAAUAAGAUGGACUACAACUCUCGAUCCUUGUGGCUUCAAGAAUUCUAUUGGUAUCGUCAACAAUGACGUUAUUCUACGCAUAUUAUUAUUAUUGUUAAUAUUCGAAGUUUAUUGUAAUCUUCAAUUGCACUUUCUGUAGAACAAACGCUGAUAUUAAGUUGGAAAGCACUUUAUGCCAUUGUCAACCUCCGUAACAUUAUGGAAAGAAACCCAAUGCAAUAAAGACGUUGAUACUAUGUCACACAAA